rnacentral:lncRNA from 1 species
UGAAACUUGCUGCGAGAUGGCCUCUGCUGCCAACUUCGUUCUUUAAAUACAGAGCAAGGGGAGGGCCGUCCGGUGGCCCAGCGGUUAAGUGCACACGUUCUGCUUCUGCGCCUGGGGUUCCCCAGUUCGGAUCCCUGGGGUUCGUUGGUUUGGAUCCCAACUGCGGACAUAGCACCGCUUGACAAGCCAUGCUGUGGCAGGUGUCCCACAUAUAAAGUAGAGGAAGAUGGGCACGGAUGUUAGCUCAGGGCCAGUCUUCCUCAGCAAAAAGAGGAGGGUUGGCAGCAGUUAGCUCAGGGCUAAACUUCCUUAAAAAAAAAUACAGAGCUAGGAACAUCAGUACGAACUCAUGUUUAGCUUAAUAUAAACACAGAUAGGUAAAUAUAGGAAUAAGUAGAUAUGUGUUAUACAAAGGGUUAGGAUUGAAGGAGAUUAGGACAUGCCACCCCAAAAUAUGCCGCUUUGGAACACUGAUUAUUUUGAGCUGAAGGCACCUGAAAAACAGUGAAUGCAGGGAGAGGCUGUCUCUGAACUCCCCUUAUCUGCCUAAAGACAGAUCCUCCAAGAGGAAUUCAAUCGUCAUCAACCCCCUCCCUGGGAGUCUCAUCAACCAGGGAAGAGAUGAGACUAGAAGUCGACACCACAGCCAGACAAACUGUCACAAACCAUCGUACCUCCCAUCUAGUCUUCUAAGAGCCCAUCAUCUUUCCUAAAAAUCAGGCCCAGCUAUCGAAUCUAGGAGGUUGAAGGGAAAGUCUUUCCUCCACUCCAGCAUACACUCAUAUAUUUCCAAGCUGAGAGCACCCACAAGUAAAAACACCCCAGAAGUCACCAGCACCAGGCCUUUGUUUCUGACACCAUCCUCUAAAAACAGGAGCCCAGGCUCUCGGGAGAAGUGGCCGAUUCUAGGGCUGGGCAGGGAAUAGACUAGAUGAGCCUGGGAUAUCCUGCAGUGCCAGAAAGUAAGGAAGUGCUGAAAUAUCACUCACACUCACACACACAGAUGGGGUAUAGGAGCCAAGUGAAAGAGCUCCCCAUGACCAAAGCUGGGAUAAUUGGAG